AAAUCUUUUUGACAGAUCAGAGUUGGUACUAGUCAAAACCCGGAAAGGUAUUACUGUAUAUAUUAUACACCGCUACACAAGGUUAAUUACUUAAUUUAAACGUACAUUAAAACCUCUAUAAAUUAAUAAUGUUGGAACAUGAUAUUUUAUUAAUUUAU
rnacentral:sRNA from 1 species